UACGUAGGGGGCAAGCGUUGUCCGGAUUUAUUGGGCGUAAAGAGCUCGUAGGCGGUUCCGUAAGUCGUGAAGUCAAAUCUCUGGGCUCAACCCAGAAUCGCUUCCGAUACUGCGGUGACUGGAGUCCGGUAGGGGAGUGUGGAAUUCCUGGUGUAGCGGUGAAAUGCGCAGAUAUCAGGAGGAACACCGAUGGCGAAGGCAGCUCGCUGGGACGGUAUUGACGCUGAGACGCGAAAGCGUGGGGAGCAAACAGG
rnacentral:rRNA from 1 species